rnacentral:rRNA from 1 species
AUUGAACGCUAGCGGGAUGCCUUACACAUGCAAGUCGAACGGCAGCACGGACUUCGGUCUGGUGGCGAGUGGCGAACGGGUGAGUAAUGUAUCGGAACGUGCCUAGUAGCGGGGGAUAACUACGCGAAAGCGUAGCUAAUACCGCAUACGCCCUACGGGGGAAAGCAGGGGAUCGCAAGACCUUGCACUAUUAGAGCGGCCGAUAUCGGAUUAGCUAGUUGGUGGGGUAACGGCUCACCAAGGCGACGAUCCGUAGCUGGUUUGAGAGGACGACCAGCCACACUGGGACUGAGACACGGCCCAGACUCCUACGGGAGGCAGCAGUGGGGAAUUUUGGACAAUGGGGAAACCCUGAUCCAGCCAUCCCGCGUGUGCGAUGAAGGCCUUCGGGUUGUAAAGCACUUUUGGCAGGAAAGAAACGUCAUGGGCUAAUACCCCGUGAAACUGACGGUACCUGCAGAAUAAGCACCGGCUAACUACGUGCCAGCAGCCGCCGUA